GCGGCCUUACUUGAAUAGGAUCCGUUCUAUAGGUUGUACAUGUUACUGUUGACACAACAAAGGCACACACAACAAUGUGGAAGAUGGUACAGCGCCACACGGCCAAAGUGCGAAUACAGGAUGUGGGAUCCACAGUGCUCUAUCAACCGUAGAGGAUCGCUCUCAUCAAAACAACGGCUGAUGGGACGGCCGUGUGGCAGUCUGACAUAUU
rnacentral:snoRNA from 1 species